CGCUGGCGGCAGGCCUAACACAUGCAAGUCGAGCGGUAACAUUUCUAGCUUGCUAGAAGAUGACGAGCGGCGGACGGGUGAGUAAUGCUUGGGAAUAUGCCUUAGGGUGGGGGACAACAGUUGGAAACGACUGCUAAUACCGCAUAACGUCUACGGACCAAAGGGGGCUUCGGCUCUCGCCCUUAGAUUAGCCCAAGUGGGAUUAGCUAGUUGGUGAGGUAAUGGCUCACCAAGGCGACGAUCCCUAGCUGGUUUGAGAGGAUGAUCAGCCACACUGGAACUGAGACACGGUCCAGACUCCUACGGGAGGCAGCAGUGGGGAAUAUUGCACAAUGGGCGCAAGCCUGAUGCAGCCAUGCCGCGUGUGUGAAGAAGGCCUUAGGGUUGUAAAGCACUUUCAGUAAGGAGGAAAGGUUAGUAGUUAAUACCUGCUAGCUGUGACGUUACUUACAGAAGAAGCACCGGCUAACUCCGUGCCAGCAGCCGCGGUAAUACGGAGGGUGCGAGCGUUAAUCGGAAUUACUGGGCGUAAAGCGUACGCAGGCGGUUUGUUAAGCGAGAUGUGAAAGCCCCGGGCUCAACCUGGGAACUGCAUUUCGAACUGGCAAACUAGAGUAUGAUAGAGGGUGGUAGAAUUUCAGGUGUAGCGGUGAAAUGCGUAGAGAUCUGAAGGAAUACCGAUGGCGAAGGCAGCCACCUGGGUCAAUACUGACGCUCAUGUACGAAAGCGUGGGGAGCAAACGGGAUUAGAUACCCCGGUAGUCCACGCCGUAAACGAUGUCUACUAGGAGCUGGGGUCUUCGGACAACUUUUCCAAAGCUAACGCAUUAAGUAGACCGCCUGGGGAGUACGGCCGCAAGGUUAAAACUCAAAUGAAUUGACGGGGGCCCGCACAAGCGGUGGAGCA
rnacentral:rRNA from 1 species